rnacentral:rRNA from 3 species
GAUCGCGGCGACGCGGGCGGUCCGCCGCCGUCGACGUCGCGAGAAGUCCACUGAACCUUAUCAUUUAGAGGAAGGAGAAGUCGUAACAAGGUUUCCGUAGGUGAACCUGCGGAAGGAUCAUUGCCGCC